CCACCUGAUCCCAUCCCGAACUCAGUAGUGAAACGAUGCAUCGCCGAUGAUAGUGUGGGGUUUCC
rnacentral:rRNA from 1 species